GGCGGGAUGGCAGAAUUAGGUCAAUGCGACUGGUUCAGAGCCAGUUAGGUCACCACACCUAUGCGGGUUCAAAUCCCGCUCCCGCCG
rnacentral:tRNA from 1 species